CUGGCUCAGGAUGAACGCUAGCUACAGGCUUAACACAUGCAAGUCGAGGGGCAGCAUGCAGGUAGCUUGCUAUCUGCGAUGGCGACCGGCGCACGGGUGCGUAACACGUAUCCAAUCUGCCCGUUACUCAGGGAUAGCCUUUCGAAAGAAAGAUUAAUACCUGAUGGUUUCCCAUUCCCGCAUGGGAAUGUGAGUAAAGAUUCAUCGGUAACGGAUGAGGAUGCGUCCGAUUAGCUUGUUGGCGGGGCAACGGCCCACCAAGGCGACGAUCGUAGGGGUUCUGAGAGGAAGGUCCCCACACUGGAACUGAGACACGGUCCAGACUCCUACGGGAGGCAGCAGUGAGGAAUAUUGGUCAAUGGGCGCGAGCCUGAACCAGCCAAGUAGCGUGAGGGACGACGGCCCUACGGGUUGUAAACCUCUUUUGUUUGGGAAUAAAGUGCCCUACGCGUAGGGUUUUGUAUGUACCAUGCGAAUAAGCAUCGGCUAAUUCCGUGCC
rnacentral:rRNA from 1 species